AGUGAACGCUGGCGGUAGGCCUAACACAUGCAAGUCGAACGGCAGCACAGUAAGAGCUUGCUCUUACGGGUGGCGAGUGGCGGACGGGUGAGGAAUACAUCGGAAUCUACUUUUUCGUGGGGGAUAACGUAGGGAAACUUACGCUAAUACCGCAUACGACCUACGGGUGAAAGCAGGGGAUCUUCGGCCCUUGCGCGAUUGAUUGAGCCGAUGUCGGAUUAGCUAGUUGGCGGGGUAAAGGCCCACCAAGGCGACGAUCCGUAGCUGGUCUGAGAGGAUGAUCAGCCACACUGGAACUGAGACACGGUCCAGACUCCUACGGGAGGCAGCAGUGGGGAAUAUUGGACAAUGGGCGCAAGCCUGAUCCAGCCAUACCGCGUGGGUGAAGAAGGCCUUCGGGUUGUAAAGCCCUUUUGUUGGGAAAGAAAAGCAGCAGGUUAAUACCCCGCUGUUCUGACGGUACCCAAAGAAUAAGCACCGGCUAACUUCGUG
rnacentral:rRNA from 1 species